AUAUGGGCGAAAGCCUGACGGAGCAAUGCCGCGUGAAUGAAGAAGGUCUUCGGAUCGUAAAGUUCUGUCAUUAGGGAAGAAAGGUGCGUAUGUGAAUAAUGUACGCAUUUGACGGUACCUAAGGAGGAAGCCACGGCUAACUACGUGCCAGCAGCCGCGGUAAUA
rnacentral:rRNA from 1 species